rnacentral:rRNA from 1 species
CAGUCGCCGCGGGAAUACGUAGGUGGCAAGCGUUGUCCGGAAUUAUUGGGCGUAAAGCGCGCGCAGGUGGUUUAAUAAGUCUGAUGUGAAAGCCCACGGCUCAACCGUGGAGGGUCAUUGGAAACUGUUAAACUUGAGUGCAGGAGAGAAAAGUGGAAUUCCUAGUGUAGCGGUGAAAUGCGUAGAGAUUAGGAGGAGCACCAGUGGCGAAGGCGGCUUUUUGGCCUGUAACUGACACUGAGGCGCGAAAGCGUGGGGAGCAAACAGGAUUAGAUACCCCAGUAGUCCCUGUCUCUUAUAC